AUCCGGCUGACGAGUCCGAAAUAGGGCGAAACAUACGUCCUUGAU
rnacentral:hammerhead_ribozyme from 1 species